rnacentral:rRNA from 1 species
AUUGAACGCUGGCGGCAUGCUUUACACAUGCAAGUCGAACGGCAGCGCGGGCUUCGGCCUGGCGGCGAGUGGCGAACGGGUGAGUAAUGCAUCGGAACGUGCCCAGUAGUGGGGGAUAGCCCGGCGAAAGCCGGAUUAAUACCGCAUACGACCUGAGGGUGAAAGCGGGGGACCGAAAGGCCUCGCGCUAUUGGAGCGGCCGAUGUCGGAUUAGCUAGUUGGUGGGGUAAAGGCUUACCAAGGCGACGAUCCGUAGCUGGUCUGAGAGGACGACCAGCCACACUGGGACUGAGACACGGCCCAGACUCCUACGGGAGGCAGCAGUGGGGAAUUUUGGACAAUGGGGGCAACCCUGAUUCAGCCAUGCCGCGUGCGGGAAGAAGGCCUUCGGGUUGUAAACCGCUUUUGUUCGGGAAGAAAUCCUCUGGGCUAAUACCCCGGGGGGAUGACGGUACCGGAAGAAUAAGCACCGGCUAACUACGUG